GACGAACGCUGGCGGCGUGCUUAACACAUGCAAGUCGAGCGGAAAGGCCCUGCUUUUGUGGGGUGCUCGAGUGGCGAACGGGUGAGUAACACGUGAGUAACCUGCCCUUGACUUUGGGAUAACUUCAGGAAACUGGGGCUAAUAACGGAUAGGAGCUCCUGCUGCAUGGUGGGGGUUGGAAAGUUUCGGCGGUUGGGGAUGGACUCGCGGCUUAUCAGCUUGUUGGUGGGGUAGUGGCUUACCAAGGCCUUGACGGGUAGCCGGCCUGAGAGGGUGACCGGCCACAUUGGGACUGAGAUACGGCCCAGACUCCUACGGGAGGCAGCAGUGGGGAAUAUUGCACAAUGGGCGGAAGCCUGAUGCAGCAACGCCGCGUGCGGGAUGACGGCCUUCGGGUUGUAAACCGCUUUCGCCUGUGACGAAGCGUGAGUGACGGUAAUGGGUAAAGAAGCACCGGCUAACUACGUG
rnacentral:rRNA from 1 species